UCCCUGGUAGCUUAAACGGUAAAGCAUCUGCCUAUAAUGCAGGAGACCUGGGUUCAGUCCCUGGGUUGGGAA
rnacentral:tRNA from 1 species